rnacentral:rRNA from 1 species
AUGGCCGGCAACGACUGCGAGUCUCAAAUGUUCGCCAACGUGCCUGAGGGGUUUGUCAAACUCCUCUCCUUCAUUGUUCAGGUCGCGAUGGGGCCAUCCGUGCGCCCAGUCUUCACACUUUAUCCGCACAAGAUCAACGACAGUCUGACCAUGCACCAGGCCGCGGUGCAAUUCAGGGGAGGGCAUGUUGAGAUGCGCCGCUUCCGUUUCUUGGGGAGAGCCAUGCCUACAGAGAGGCAUACUAUGCAGAUGGCUGCCCGCGAGGCGAUAGCUCGUCUUCGGGAUGUCCUUCCUGCAAUGAAGACCCGUCGCUACCGCUACCUUCCAUGCCACAUGCCUUACACCUGUCACUACUCAUUCUCUUGCCCCAGAGAAGAGCGAGACGAGGCCUUUGAGAUGCUUGUCGAGUACCUCCGAGCCCUGGAGGCAGCCUUCGAUAGCAUGGUGGACGACCUCGUAGCUGCCCGCAUGGACUCAGUUCAUGGCUGUGCUGCUAACAGGAGGGAACUCCUACACACCGCUCCACCGUUGACUUUUAUCUCGUCCUGA